CGCACAUUGCGCCCUUUGGCAUUCCGAAGGGCAUGCCUGUUCGAGCGUCAUUAAAACCCUCAAGCACUGCUUGGUAUUGGGCUUCGUCCCUGAGACGUGCCCGCAAUUUUGUGGCGGUCCGAUGAGACUUCAAGCGCAGCAAGAUUGAGAAAUCUCGCUUGAAAGGCUUCGCCGCGACUGGCCAAACAACCCUAUAUUUCAACGAUUGACCUCGGAUCAGGUAGGGAUACCCGCUGAACUUAA
rnacentral:misc_RNA from 1 species